UCAAGAACCACACAGCAGAUUGAUAUCCAGAUCACUACAAGUGAUAGCUAGCACAACCUCAGUUUUGCUUUUGGGUUAUGGACUUUUGGGUUAGAAAUGAUUGAUGGUGGUUGUGAAAAAGAUAGUUGAUGUAUAGGCAAUACACUAAUGCACACAUUGUCUAUUUAUAUCCCCUAUUUGAAUCCCUUUUUAAUCCAAAAACUAGUUUAUGUGUAGACCAAAAAGACAAGUUCAAUUAUAGUCUUCAUGUUUUGAAAUCUCGUGACACAUUCACAUGUUGGUAAAUAUACAAAUCGGUAACUCUACAUUUUAGUCAAAAAAACACUAAUCUUCUUCUUCUCCAAAAAACCAAAAUACAUAAACCAGAACUAUAUCUUUUUUUCUCCACAAAACCAAAACAAAUGAACCAAAACCAUAUCUUUCUUUUCUCCACAAAAUCAAAACACAAAAACCAAACACACAUAUAUUCAAUCAAAACACAUAAUAACCAAAACACUUAACCAAAACACAUAAUUUUUUAAACCAAAACACGAUAAUUAUGAAC
rnacentral:lncRNA from 1 species